AUGGAUGUUUACUUCAUCGCUUUGAUUUUCAAAGAGGAAAAUCCGGACACCUAGAGUAAGCAUAGCGGAUAACAUCCGUCCAUCGUAAGAUGAGGACAAGUGCAACAGAAAGCAAGUACAGUUAGGCUGUAGUGAAAACAGGCAAACUCUAUGCGGUGAAAUGUCAUGUAUAUCAGGAUUUUAAAACUACUCGUUUUCCUGAGGGGUAGGCAGCUAAAGAUAAAGGGUAACCUUUAUUGUAGAUAAAUGAUGAAGACUUUUUAAAAGACACAGAAUCCGGUUUAUUAACAUCCUUAUUA
rnacentral:RNase_P_RNA from 1 species